UCGAGGAUCUUCGGCAAUGGGCGCAAGCCUGACCGAGCGACGCCGCGUGCGGGAUGAAGGCCUUCGGGUUGUAAACCGCUGUCAGAGAGGCGGAAAUAUAGGGGGGUUCUCCCUUCUAUUUGACCUAUUCUCAGAGGAAGUGCGGGCUAAGUCCGUGCCAGCAGCCGCGGUAACACGGACCGCACGAACGUUAUUCGGUAUCACUGGGCUUAAAGGGUGCGUAGGCGGCUUUGCAAGUUGGGUGUGAAAGCCCUCGGCUCAACCGAGGAAUUGCGCUCAAUACUGCCGAGCUCGAGAGAGACAGAGGUAAGCGGAACUAAUGGUGGAGCGGUGAAAUGCGUUGAUAUCAUUAGGAACACCGGUGGCGAAGGCGGCUUACUGGGUCUUUUCUGACGCUGAGGCACGAAAGCCAGGGGAGCGAACGGGAUUAGAUACCCCCGUAGUCC
rnacentral:rRNA from 1 species